rnacentral:rRNA from 1 species
GUCUACGGCCAUUCCACCCUGAACGAGCGGAUCUGAUCUUGGAAGCUAAGCAGGGUCGGGCCUGGUUAGUGCCUGGAUGGGAGACCGCCUGGGAAGACCAGGUGCUGUAGGCG